rnacentral:rRNA from 1 species
UACGUAGGGGGCGAGCGUUAUCCGGAUUUAUUGGGCGUAAAGGGUGCGUAGGCGGCCUUACAAGUCUGAGUUGAAAGCCCACGGCUUAACCGUGGAGGGUACUCGGAAACUGUAAGGCUUGAAUCCAGAAGAGGCAAGUAGAAUUCUAUGUGGAGCGGUGGAAUGCGUAGAUAUAUGGAGGAAUACCAGUGGCGAAGGCGGCUUGCUGGUCUGGGAUUGACGCUGAGGCACGAAAGCGUGGGGUGCAAACAGG